AGCUCCAAUAGCGUAUAUUAAAGUUGUUGCAGUUAAAAAGCUCGUAGUUGGAUUUCGGGACGGGGUUUGGUCCGGUCUGCCGUGAUGGUGUGUACUGACCUACCCGUUCUUCCUGCCGGUUUUUUGCUUUGCGCUGCUCUUCACUGAGUGGCGUAUAGGCUCCGGCUCGUUUACUUUGAAUAAAUUAGAGUGUUUAAAGCAGGCCGUUAUGUGCCACUGAAUACUGCAGCAUGGGAUAAUGGAAUAGGACUUUGCUUCUAUUUCGUUGGUUUCUAGGAGUGAAGUAAUGAUUAAUAGAGAUAGUUGGGGGUAUUCAUAUUGAGUUGUCAGAGGUGAAAUUCUUGGAUUUACGAAAGAUGAACUUCUGCGAAAGCAUUUAUCAAGGAUGUUUUCAUUAAUC
rnacentral:rRNA from 1 species